rnacentral:rRNA from 1 species
GAUGAACGCUGGCGGCGUGCCUAAUACAUGCAAGUCGAGCGAACAGACGAGGAGCUUGCUCCUCUGACGUUAGCGGCGGACGGGUGAGUAACACGUGGAUAACCUACCUAUAAGACUGGGAUAACUUCGGGAAACCGGAGCUAAUACCGGAUAAUAUAUUGAACCGCAUGGUUCAAUAGUGAAAGACGGUUUUGCUGUCACUUAUAGAUGGAUCCGCGCCGCAUUAGCUAGUUGGUAAGGGAACGGCUUACCAAGGCAACGAUGCGUAGCCGACCUGAGAGGGUGAUCGGCCACACUGGAACUGAGACAGGGUCCAGACACCUACGGGAGGCAGCAGCAGGGAAUCUUCCGCAAUGGGGGAGAGCCUGACGGAGCACCGCCGCGUGAGGGAUGAAGGUCUUCGGAUCGGAAAACUCUGUUAUUAGGGAAGAAGAAAUGUGUAAGUAACUAUGCACAUCUUGACGGUACCUGAUCAGAAAGCCACGGCUAACUACGUG